GAAGGAUUAGUUAAACUAUAACAUCAGAAUGUCAAACUGAAGUAAUCGCAAAGAUAUCCUUCU
rnacentral:tRNA from 1 species